AUUGAACGCUGGCGGCAGGCCUAACACAUGCAAGUCUUGCGGUAGCACAGAGAGCUUGCUCUCGGGUGACGAGCGGCGGACGGGUGAGUAAUGUCUGGGAAACUGCCUGAUGGAGGGGGAUAACUACUGGAAACGGUAGCUAAUACCGCAUAACGUCGCAAGACCAAAGUGGGGGACCUUCGGGCCUCAUGCCAUCAGAUGUGCCCAGAUGGGAUUAGCUAGUAGGUGGGGUAAUGGCUCACCUAGGCGACGAUCCCUAGCUGGUCUGAGAGGAUGACCAGCCACACUGGAACUGAGACACGGUCCAGACUCCUACGGGAGGCAGCAGUGGGGAAUAUUGCACAAUGGGCGCAAGCCUGAUGCAGCCAUGCCGCGUGUGUGAAGAAGGCCUUCGGGUUGUAAAGCACUUUCAGCGGGGAGGAAGGCGGUGAGGUUAAUAACCUCAUCGAUUGACGUUACCCGCAGAAGAAGCACCGGCUAACUCCGUGCCAGCAGCCGCGGUAAUACGGAGGGUGCAAGCGUUAAUCGGAAUUACUGGGCGUAAAGCGCACGCAGGCGGUCUGUCAAGUCGGAUGUGAAAUCCCCGGGCUCAACCUGGGAACUGCAUUCGAAACUGGCAGGCUAGAGUCUUGUAGAGGGGGGUAGAAUUCCAGGUGUAGCGGUGAAAUGCGUAGAGAUCUGGAGGAAUACCGGUGGCGAAGGCGGCCCCCUGGACAAAGACUGACGCUCAGGUGCGAAAGCGUGGGGAGCAAACAGGAUUAGAUACCCUGGUAGUCCACGCCGUAAACGAUGUCGAUUUGGAGGUUGUGCCCUUGAGGCGUGGCUUCCGGAGCUAACGCGUUAAAUCGACCGCCUGGGGAGUACGGCCGCAAGGUUAAAACUCAAAUGAAUUGACGGGGGCCCGCACAAGCGGUGGAGCAUGUGGUUUAAUUCGAUGCAACGCGAAGAACCUUACCUGGUCUUGACAUCCACAGAACUUUCCAGAGAUGGAUUGGUGCCUUCGGGAACUGUGAGACAGGUGCUGCAUGGCUGUCGUCAGCUCGUGUUGUGAAAUGUUGGGUUAAGUCCCGCAACGAGCGCAACCCUUAUCCUUUGUUGCCAGCGGUCCGGCCGGGAACUCAAAGGAGACUGCCAGUGAUAAACUGGAGGAAGGUGGGGAUGACGUCAAGUCAUCAUGGCCCUUACGACCAGGGCUACACACGUGCUACAAUGGCAUAUACAAAGAGAAGCGACCUCGCGAGAGCAAGCGGACCUCAUAAAGUAUGUCGUAGUCCGGAUUGGAGUCUGCAACUCGACUCCAUGAAGUCGGAAUCGCUAGUAAUCGUAGAUCAGAAUGCUACGGUGAAUACGUUCCCGGGCCU
rnacentral:rRNA from 1 species